rnacentral:lncRNA from 1 species
UUUAAUUCAUCUUUAUCUAGAUUUGAUAAGAUCUCAAACAUUGAAAUAUGUGGAUUGGAUUUUAAGCUCUUUGAGCUUCUAGCUAUUCUCUUUUAAGUUUUUAACUUGUUUUCUUCAGUAUCUUUUUUGUUUCCUUUAUUUUUGUUGGUGAAAAAAGGGGAGUAGAUAUGAAAGUAUUUAAGCAUAUGAGUCUGACAGUUAUUAUUUUUGCUUAAACUCUAGAGAUUUAUUAUUUGUGCUUUAAAGUUUAAAUUUAAUUAACCUGGAUAGAACUUU